UACGUAGGGGGCUAGCGUUGUCCGGAAUCAUUGGCGUAAGCGCGUGUAGGCGGCCCGGUAAGUCCGCUGUGAAAGUCGGGGGCUCAACCCUCGGAUGCCGGUGGAUACUAGUCGGGCUCGAGUACGAAGAGGCGAGUGGAAUUCCUGGUGUAGCGGUGAAAUGCGCAGAGUAUCAAGGAUGGAACAGCCGGUGGCGAAGGCGGGUCUCUAGGGCCGUAACCUGGACGCUGAGGAGCGAAAGCGUGGGGAGCGAACAGG
rnacentral:rRNA from 1 species